UCACCUAAGAUGUUGUUAAAAUGCAGAUUCUGAUAAAAGGUGGGGCCUGAGAUUCUGCAUUUCUAACAAACUCCCGGGUG
rnacentral:miRNA from 1 species